rnacentral:rRNA from 1 species
GAUGAACGCUGGCGGCGUGCCUAAUACAUGCAAGUCGAGCGAACGGACGAGAAGCUUGCUUCUCUGAUGUUAGCGGCGGACGGGUGAGUAACACGUGGAUAACCUACCUAUAAGACUGGGAUAACUUCGGGAAACCGGAGCUAAUACCGGAUAAUAUUUUGAACCGCAUGGUUCAAAAGUGAAAGACGGUCUUGCUGUCACUUAUAGAUGGAUCCGCGCUGCAUUAGCUAGUUGGUAAGGUAACGGCUUACCAAGACAACGAUGCAUAGCCGACCUGAGAGGGUGAUCGGCCACACUGGAACUGAGACACGGUCCAGACUCCUACGGGAGGCAGCAGUAGGGAAUCUUCCGCAAUGGGCGAAAGCCUGACGGAGCAACGCCGCGUGAGUGAUGAAGGUCUUCGGAUCGUAAAACUCUGUUAUUAGGGAAGAACAUAUGUGUAAGUAACUGUGCACAUCUUGACGGUACCUAAUCAGGAAGCCACGGCUAACUACGUG